ensembl:lncRNA
AUUUAUGGGGGCUCGUCCGGGAUCUGCGCGACUACCCCAGACUCCGAAGACCCCUUGGAGACGCCUGAAGACCUGGAGCCACCACAGCACGAGUGUCAAACACUGACAGAAGCACAUGGGUAGAGGAAAGACCUCUGCGACUGGCUGAUUGACCCCUGCUGAAAGCCGAGGACCUUGUUCACAGACGGGAACAGUUCUCUUCAUGAAUGAAGGUCAGAGACAAGUGGGUGCUGCCAUGGUGGACAACACAGUGUCAUCUAGAAUGGCUGAACCCCAACCCCCAGCACAUCAGCACCACAGAUGCCUUUGCCAUCUCUUAGAUGCCCUGAUGAAGCCAACAACUGUGAGUACUAUUCAUUGCUCAGGAUAUCAGGAGGAAAGAGAUUCAGUGACAUGGGACAGUAACAAAACAGAUAAAGUGGCUCAGGAAAUGGCUAUGCAGGAGCCUAUCCUGGUUACAGACCUGCAAGAGACAGCCACUGAGAACUAGGAUCGGACUAAGGGAUGGCCUCACUUAGAAAAGCCCCAAAUUGCUUAAAAGAUAAAGGACAAUGACACACUUGAGGGGAAGCUAUACUCCCCAGAGAACAAAGAAAAGACUCACUUUGCCAAAUAAAAAAAUAGACUCAUUUAAGAGAUAAAAAAUUUGUCC